rnacentral:rRNA from 1 species
AUGAAGCACAGCCCGAGGUCCCCUCGUACCACGGCGCCCUCCCAUCCGGUUAGAUCCGGUGCUCGCAGUCACCACAGCUCACCCGCGACCCUUCCCCCAUGGCUACUAGGGUUUCAGGCAUUGGCUCUGGUGGCCGUCGUUCUCCUCUUGUCCGGUCAGUGCAUGCCCUCCCCUGGCUUCAUCCUCUCUCUCUCUCUCCUCCUUUCUCUAACAUGCUCUUCUCUUCUUCUGUACACGUGCAGGGAGGAACCGCCAGUGGCCAGUACACGAAGCAGCCAUGGAGCUUCCUCCUCCUCUAGCUUCGAGGCAACAACAUUGUAG